rnacentral:tRNA from 1 species
GCCGGGGUGGCCUAGUUGGUUAGGGCGUCAGACUCAUAGGGAUUUAAGAUGUGAAUGCCUGAAACCUGAGAUAUCUGAAGGUCGCGGGUCCGAGUCCCGCCCCCGGUA